AAUCCUAGCACUUUGGGAGCCCGAGGUAUACACCUAACUGUGGACACAUUCAUCUUACUAAUCUGUAGGGAGAUAUUGCUGGAGUAUAGAGUAAGUAGAAAAAGACUUAUCUUUGGUAGAAAACUCUUUAAGAGACGCCUCUAGUAAACAUUUAUCUAGCUAAGUGCCACUUGACCGUUCCUUGGAAGAUUCAGAAGGCUGAAAAUUUCUGCCAUGCCAUGUGAUUGAGAAGCAGCAGGGACCUCUCUUCAUCUCCUGAACUGCUGGUCCAAUUCAGCCAGAUGAUGCAAGUCCCGUAGCCAACCCAAAAGCAGGAGCAAAAAAAGUCUUUCAGUGCAGAACUCACCAAAUCUACAAGCUACUGACAAAUAGUUUUGGGGAACAACUUACCUUUAAUUCCUCGGUUCAUUUUCAUUAAACGCCUGAUUAUGG
rnacentral:antisense_RNA from 1 species